rnacentral:misc_RNA from 1 species
AGUUGUAUAUGUGUCAUUUGGGAGUAUAGACAACAUAAAUGAAAAACAAAUGGAAGAAAUUGCAUGGGGUUUGAAGAGAAGCAAUUUCUACUUCUUGUGGGUUGUUAAGAUUUCUGAAGAAGCAAAGCUCCCAAAAGGGUUUGCAGAGGAGGUGGCAGACAAGGGAUUGAUAGUGAAUUGGAGUCCUCAAGUGAAAGUGUUAGCAAGUGAAGCUGUAGGAUGUUUCUUAACACAUUGUGGUUGGAACUGAACCAUAGAGGCAUUGAGUUUGGGUGUACCAAUGGUCACAUUGCCUAGAUGGAGUGACCAAGCAACGAAUGCCAAGUUCGUAGGGAGGGUAGGAAUUAGAGCAAAGGUUGAUGGUGAUGGAAUUGUGAAAAGAGAAGAGAUUGAAUUUUGUAUAAAAGAAGUAAUGGAGGGUGUUAAAAGGAAUGAAAUGAUGAAGAAUUCUGAAAAAUGGAGAGAGUUGGCCAUUGAAGCUGUCAGUGAAGGUGGUACUUCUGACAGAAAUAUUGAUAAAACUCGUAUCCCAGUUUAUAAACUCUUAAAUAUUAAUCAUCUUGCUAAGUUUUUCCUGAUUUAAUUUUAAUAUUAAUAUCAUUUGCUUAUAAAAAAAAUCUAAAUAGCAG